AUCGGCAUUGCUGAUGAGCGCUGAAAACCUUCUACGCUCGCAAAUGCCGCCGCUGCUUUUAACCUUUGACCAUGGAUGUACCGGCACUGGUGGACAAAGCGGCGAUGAGAGAGGUCGGAGCAACAUAGCCCCGGCCUUUUUUCGUC
rnacentral:sRNA from 1 species